AAGCGGGGGGCCCGAGAGGACCGGCAAGGGCGCAGAAACGACACAGCUCGCGCCGAGGAUGAUCCGCCCGGCGGUGACGUUGACGCGAGAUCUGGUGAGACGGCGACACCCCACCGGAGCAAGUCCAAGCAGGCGCAACGCGCCAGGUAGGACGCUCAGUCCAAUGCCGUCAGAACAGAAGGGGGCGUACGGCGGCCACCU
rnacentral:RNase_P_RNA from 1 species